UUAUUGCUCGGACUUGAGUUAAGUUACACAGUUAGAGUUAACUUCCCUCAGUCACUACUUACUACUCACUACUUAACUUAUUUUGUCCGUCUCUUUUAUUCUCCUUUCAAGUUAACAGCAUGCAUUAACCAGUGUUCUGUGGAAACAACUCCUGAGGGCAUUGCGGAGACUUUAAUCGCUGCUUUAGUUACUUCAUCGGGGUGGCGCCACUCGUGUAUCGGCGUCUGGAUAGGAUUAUGAUGAUAAUGCUGGAAAUAAACCUGAUGAAGGUUUAACGUGUUGUUCUGCGGGUAAACUUGAACAGGAGCCAACCUGGCAAUCUAAAAUUGUGCCGUAAUAGGAGGGGAAUAAAAGUAUAUUAAAGGCCCGAGCCAAUCAGACAAUGCAUAAAACAAAGACGCUAUGAAGCCAGAUAAAAAAAGGGAUUCCGAGUAAUGAACAACUGUCGGAUGGAGAGCAAGAUCCUCGAGACUGAAGAAAGUACAAAGAAGCAAACAGGGUGGAGAAAAUAAUUCCGUAUCAUCUCAGAUCUCGGCUCACUUUGUUUUUAUUUUUCUUUAAUUUAUUUAUUAUGGUUAUGAUUAUCAUUAUGAUUAUGAUUAUCCGUCUGGAAGUUUAUGCAGAAGCCAAAGUCGGUGUGUGCUAACUAAUGGCAUUCAAAAUUAGUCCUGCCGACCGCGAAAUUGUUGGCGAGCCUUUCGCGAAGAGAAUCGGCACGAGUAGGUGCCGCGAGGUUACGAACCCGGUGGAUCUCACCGCGCAGCCUCUCUGGGGUUGAUGAAGGGGAGACCGAGCUCCCGGUUUUUAGGAGGUUCCGAGGGGCGGCCACAGUAGCGAGGCCAAGUCCGCGAGACCACAAUUGCGGGUUUCGUUCGAUAUUAGUUUUAGGUCUCUCGGUUUAUAUAUAUAUUUAUUUUUUUAUUUUUUAUCGUUUAUUAUUGCUCUUGCUUUGUUCCAGUCGGUGAAACGCUUAAGUUGUUAUUACGAUUACACUCUUUUUAGUGAAUAAGUUUCCGGUUUUAUUAUUCUUGAUCACGAUUUUUAAUUUUUAUUAUUUUAAAUAAAAGAUUGCC